AUUGAACGCUGGCGGCAGGCCUAACACAUGCAAGUCGAGCGGGGUUUUCGGACCUAGCGGCGGACGGGUGAGUAAUGCGUAGGAAGCUGCCCGAUAGAGGGGGAUACCAGUUGGAAACGACUGUUAAUACCGCAUAAUGUCUACGGACCAAAGUGUGGGACCUUCGGGCCACAUGCUAUCGGAUGCGCCUACGUGGGAUUAGCUAGUUGGUGAGGUAAUGGCUCACCAAGGCGACGAUCUCUAGCUGGUUUGAGAGGAUGAUGAGCCACACUGGAACUGAGACACGGUCCAGACUCCUACGGGAGGCAGCAGUGGGGAAUAUUGGACAAUGGGCGCAAGCCUGAUCCAGCCAUGCCGCGUGUGUGAAGAAGGCCUUCGGGUUGUAAAGCACUUUCAGCGAGGAGGAAGGGAUGUAUGUGAAUAGCAUGCAUUUUUGACGUUACUCGCAGAAGAAGCACCGGCUAANUCUGUGCCAGCAGCCGCCGUAAAAC
rnacentral:rRNA from 1 species